ensembl:lncRNA
GUGUGUGUGAGAGAGGGAGAGAGGGAGUGUGUGUGUGUGUGAGAGAGGGAGUGUGUGUGUGUGUGUGUGUGUGUGUGAGAGAGGGAGUGUGUGUGUGUGUGUGUGAGAGAGGGGUGUGUGUGUGUGUGUGUGAGAGAGGGAGUGUGUGUGUGUGUGAGAGGGAGUGUGUGUGAGAGGGAGUGUGUGUGUGUGUGAGAGAGGGAGUGUGUGUGUGUGUGAGAGAGAGGAGUGUGUGUGUGUGUGUGUGUGAGAGAGGGAGUGUGUGUGUGUGUGUGAGAGAGGGAGUGUGUGUGUGUGAGAGAGGGAGUGUGUGUGUGUGAGAGAGGGAGUGUGUGUGUGUGAGAGAGGGAGUGUGUGUGUGUGAGAGAGGGAGUGUGUGUGUGUGUGAGAGGAGUGUGUGUGUGUGAGAGGGAGUGUGUGUGUGAGAGGUGUGUGUGUGUGAGAGAGGGAGUGUGUGUGAGUGUGAGAGGGAGUGUGUGUGAGAGAGAGGGAGUGUGUGUGUGUGUGAGAGGGAGUGUGUGUGUGUGUGAGAGGGAGUGUGUGUGUGAGAGGGAGUGUGUGUGUGAGAGGGAGUGUGUGUGUGAGAGAGGGUGUGUGUGUGAGAGAGGGUGUGUGUGUGUGAGAGAGGGUGUGUGUGUGAGAGAGGGUGUGUGUG